AACGAACGCUGGCGGCAUGCCUAACACAUGCAAGUCGAACGAGACCUUCGGGUCUAGUGGCGCACGGGUGCGUAACGCGUGGGAACCUGCCCUUAGGUUCGGAAUAACUCCCCGAAAGGGGUGCUAAUACCGGAUAAUGUCUUCGGACCAAAGAUUUAUCGCCUUUGGAUGGGCCCGCGUUGGAUUAGCUAGUUGGUAGGGUAAAAGCCUACCAAGGCGACGAUCCAUAGCUGGUCUGAGAGGAUGAUCAGCCACACUGGGACUGAGACACGGCACAGACUACUACGGGAGGAAGGAGUGGGGAAUAUAGGAAAAGGGGCGAAAGAAUGAACAAGCAAUGAGGGGUGAGAGAUGAAGGCAUUAGGGUUGUAAAGCUAUGUUAAACGGGAUGAGAAUGACAGUAACGGGAGAAUAAGCACCGGCUAACUCCGUG
rnacentral:rRNA from 1 species